rnacentral:rRNA from 1 species
CACGUAGGGUGCGAGCGUUGUCCGGAAUUAUUGGGCGUAAAGAGCUCGUAGGCGGUGUGUCGCGUCGGCCGUGAAAACCUGCAGCUUAACUGUGGGCUUGCGGUCGAUACGGGCAUCACUGGAGUUCGGCAGGGGAGACUGGAAUUCCUGGUGUAGCGGUGAAAUGCGUAGAUAUCAUUUGGAACGCCAAUGGUGAAAACAGGUAGCUGGGGCUGUGCUGACGCUGAGACACGAAAGCCAGGGGAGCGAACGGG